rnacentral:rRNA from 1 species
CCUACGGGAGGCAGCAGUGGGGGAUAUUGCACAAUGGGGGCAACCCUGAUCCAGCAACGCCGCGUGGGUGAAGGAGCGUUUCGGCUCGUAAAGCCCUAUCCGCAGGGACGAAGGAGGACGGUACCUGACUACGAUGCGCCGGCUAACUACGUGCCAGCACCCGCGGUAAUACGUAGGGGGCAAGCGUGAUCCGGAUUUACUGGGUGUAACGGGGGCGCAGACGGGAGCGCAAGCCAGGUGUGAAAACCCGGGGCUCAACCUCGGGACUGCUCUUGGAACUGUGCGGCUGGAGUGCAGGAGGGGCAGGCGGAAUUCCUGGUGUAGCGGUGAAAUGCGUAGAUAUCAGGAGGAACACCGGUGGCGAAGGCGGCCUGCUGGACUGCGACUGACGUUGAGGCCCGAAAGCGUGGGGAGCAAACAGGAUUAGAUACCCCAGUAGUC